CAGCAGCCGCGGUAAUACGAAGGGGGCUAGCGUUGCUCGGAAUUACUGGGCGUAAAGGGAGCGUAGGCGGAUCGUUUAGUCAGGGGUGAAAUCCCGGGGCUCAACCUCGGAACUGCCUUUGAUACUGGCGAUCUUGAGUAUGGGAGAGGUGUGUGGAACUCCGAGUGUAGAGGUGAAAUUCGUAGAUAUUCGGAAGAACACCAGUGGCGAAGGCGACACACUGGCCCAUUACUGACGCUGAGGCUCGAAAGCGUGGGGAGCAAACAGGAUUAGAUACCCGAGUAGUCCCUGUCUCUUAUAC
rnacentral:rRNA from 1 species